rnacentral:rRNA from 1 species
AUUGAACGCUGGCGGCAUGCUUUACACAUGCAAGUCGAACGGUAACAGGCCGCAAGGUGCUGACGAGUGGCGAACGGGUGAGUAAUGCAUCGGAACGUGCCCAGUCGUGGGGGAUAACUACUCGAAAGAGUAGCUAAUACCGCAUACGAUCUAUGGAUGAAAGCGGGGGACCGUAAGGCCUCGCGCGAUUGGAGCGGCCGAUGUCAGAUUAGGUAGUUGGUGGGGUAAAGGCUCACCAAGCCAACGAUCUGUAGCUGGUCUGAGAGGACAACCAGCCACACUGGGACUGAGACACGGCCCAGACUCCUACGGGAGGCAGCAGUGGGGAAUUUUGGACAAUGGGCGCAAGCCUGAUCCAGCAAUGCCGCGUGCAGGAAGAAGGCCUCGGGUUGUAAACUGCUUUUGUACGGAACGAAACGGCUCUGGUUAAUACCCGGGGCUAAUGACGGUACCGUAAGAAUAAGCACCGGCUAACUACGUG